rnacentral:misc_RNA from 1 species
GGCCAACAAGGUCUAAAAAUGAGUGGCAGGACUAAAGUGUUUGACAAAACCAAAUCUUACAAACUCUUAAACUUAUUUUUGAACAUAAAGGAAUGAAAGUAAUAAUAAGACUAAAAAGUAACUUCUUCUAAUUUGAAUCCUAAAUUUACUGUUAAAAGUUUUCAACUUGUAGCCGAUAGCCUAAAAGGCUGAAACUGAAAAGCCAAGUAUAAAGUCGGAUUCAUCAUUUGGCCACUUGUACAACAAAAAUUCCAAGAAAACAAGGAGAUUUUAACAUGUAUAACAAAAAUUCUGAACAAAAGUUGAAUUAAGGAUGAGGUUUCCACCUAGUGUGAGUUGAUAUAAUAAGACAACAAAAAGAAAAAGGAAAAGAGAACAGAAAGGAUUGCAAAGAGAAUUGAGAAGUUCCUCUUCCUACCCUUUGUCCCCCUUCCUAGUAUCAAGUGUCCAAGUCUCCAAUGUUGCCGCUCUUUACAUUUGCUUCAAACUCAUUGCAAUUGCAGCCUAUCCUUUUCGACAAAAUACUCUCUCUCUCUCUCUCUCUAAACACAGCCACUGUCCUAGCAAACAAUAAACUCCUUCUCUCCUCUUGAGUUCCAGUUAGAGCUAGGGAUAUUAGAUAUUUAUUCUUCUUCCUCCUCUAUAUCUCUCUGUGGGGAAAAAGAACAAACACAGAAAAAGCAGAAGACGCAACCACGAAAGACGCAACCACGAAAGACGCGUCUUUACCGAGCAGAUUCUUUCUGCGUCAUACUAUUAUUAUCAUCUCUCAUUCUUUCCUCUAUAUAAAGCGACACCCAACUCUGAUUGUGUGGCCUCCCUUCGCUUAAUCCUCUUUAGGUUUUUAGGGGGUUUUGGCCUUUUUGGUUCUCUUUAGUGGCGGUUACAAAAACAGAGUCUUUAUGGCUGAAGAUGGUCUUGCUGUGUCCAAUGAUUUGCCUGUCAAGAGACCUAGAGAAGAUGAAGAGAAUGGGGUCUCUGCUGACACUGUCGCUAUGGAGAUGGAGGGUAACACCGACAAAAACAGUAAUAAUAAUGAUUAUAAAUCCUCUGUUAUACCUGGCUGGUUUUCUGAGAUUAGCCCAAUGUGGCCUGGAGAGGCACACUCCUUAAAAAUGGAAAAGAUCUUAUUUCAAGGGAAGUCUGACUACCAGAAUGUGAUGGUCUUUCAGUCAUCAACAUAUGGAAAGGUUCUUGUUUUGGAUGGAGUGAUUCAACUCACAGAGAGGGAUGAAUGUGCAUAUCAAGAAAUGAUUACCCACCUCCCACUCUGCUCAAUUCCAAACCCAAAGAAGGUACUUGUGUUCUUUGAAGGAUCAAAGAAUCAACUGGAAAUGCAUCAAUAUACACUAGUCUUGUUUAGCUGAUUAAAUGUUGUGAAUCGUUGCAAACUGGGAUUUUCCAUGAUAUGGUAUGUACCAUGUAGUUCUUGCCUUUCGUGCUUGUUCAUUUAUUGUAAUGUGGAAGAGAGAAUUAUAUUUUGCUUUUAUUGUUGAGGAUCUUUUGUUGAUAUGACAUUUGUUGAUAUGACAUUAAAGAUGCAAUAAUAGUUGUAUGUUCUGUAAUUGUCUUUGCCUUGCUUUUAUGAGCAUGUAAGUGAAUUCUAGAUCUGGUAUUUCAUUUUCUUGAAAACUAUAUGUACAAAUGCUUUUUUCAGUGCUAAAUUUUGGUCAUUCCAAGGCACCAAAAAGAAAAGCAUUAAAUUAUAGUUUAAUCAAAUAUUUGAUAGAAAAGAAAUACUAUAUUGAAGUUUUAUGCUAUCAUGUUUCUUUAAAGCAGUAAUCUUGAUAUUUAAUGUAUGAUGACUACAUUUAUGUUUUCUGUCCUCCCUUUUUCAAUUCUGACUUUAUUGUUUUUCCUUUAGGUUUUGGUUAUUGGUGGAGGAGAUGGUGGAGUCUUGCGGGAAGUGGCUCAGCAUUCAUCUGUUGAACAGAUUGUCAUAUGUGAAAUAGAUAAGAUGGUUGUUGAUGUUUCUAAAGAAUUUUUCCCUGAUAUAGCAGUUGGCUAUGAGGAUCCUCGCGUGACACUCCAUGUUGGUGAUGGAGUUGCUUUUUUAAAGGAUGUUCCUGCAGGAACAUAUGAUGCAAUUAUAGUAGAUUCUUCUGACCCAAUAGGUCCUGCACAAGAGCUUUUUGAGAAACCAUUUUUUGAGUCAGUAGCAAAGGCUCUUCGCCCUGGAGGGGUUGUGUGUACUCAGGCAGAAAGUAUAUGGCUUCAUAUGAACAUCAUCGAGGAGAUUGUUGCAAACUGCCGUCAAAUCUUCAAAGGCUCUGUCAACUAUGCGUGGACAACUGUUCCGACUUAUCCAAGUGGGGUAAUAGGUUUCAUGCUUUGCUCUACUGAGGGACCUUCAGUUGAUUUCAAGCAUCCAGUGAAUCCCAUAGAUGUUAAUGACGGCAAAUCAAUGAAACCUUUGAAAUUUUACAAUUCAGAGAUUCAUACAGCUGCCUUUAGCUUGCCAUCUUUUGCAAAGAAGGUGAUUGAUUCAAAAGCUAAAUGAAGGAAUUUCGGAGAACACUGAAGGGAGCAGGAGUAAAAGUUUGUUGUAGAGUGACCAGUCUUCAUCCUCACUAAAAUAGUCCAUCUGGCAAUGAGCCAUGGAAUAAGUUGGGGUUUCAAGUUAUUUGCUGAGUUUGUUUUAGCAGGAAGCCUCGUACUUUUAAUCUUGGAGUUUAAAAGAUCAUUCUAUUUUUCCAUUCCAUAAUCAGUAUUGAGAGUAUGCAAAUUUUUUUAAAAGCAAUUCAAAGACCUUAAAAAAUUUUCUUACCGUACUGUUACUUGCCCUGCUUUAAAGGAUUCAAAUACUUGUGUAGUUAUGUGUGGAAGCUUUGGUUGGAAAGUAAGAAAGGGGAGAGGAGCGAAAGUGUAAAGAUAAAAAAAGAAAGGAGGGGAGAGCAUGGCUCUACUUAGUUUAGUUGUUAUUGAUAAUUCACUAAUUAAUGCAUACUCGUAGAGAUAUGAUAUGGAAGUAAACUAAAGUAACCUGGUAAUGGGUAACACUGCAGCAUAAUUUCUCACCUAAUUUUCCUGUUUCUUGAUCAUCUUUCUUCUCCAUCUUCUGCCUCUUGCAAUCAUAGAAAUAAACUAAGCAGGCCAAGCAGUUUGUCACAUUCCCAAUGCAAAAUAAGCUCAUUUGAACUAAAAUUCCAUUCCCGCCUUGAUCGCAUCCAACACAGAGGCAAGGCAACCUUACAACUAGCCCCCAAGCAAAGACAAGAAGCAUCAAGAGACCACCCUGUUGCUUAUUGCCCCUGAUUAGAAGUGGUGAUAGAGCAAAUGCUUCAGCCCCUUGUACUUCGUCCUCCAAAAUUGAUAUCACAAUACUGACAUUCCAUAAAGCACUCCAUUCUAAGUAUUUUGCUAGUAGCAGUACGAAAGCCAACCCAUAAAUUACUGCAAAAAAUGCGCCAUAAACAGUGUUCCUCCAUAUGACAUAGUAGUUUGUUACUAACCAUGUCAAUCCAAGUUCAGUGCAAGUUGCCAAGCAGAAAUCAUACGUUGAUGUAAUGAAAGCACUUCUCAACUUUCCUUUCCGAAUUGGUCUGUUCACCAUCUCUGAGGGUCAUUGAUCUUUCUUCUGUAUAUAUCUUUGAUGCCAAAUCAAGAAUCAGAAACACAGUGCUCACCUUAAGGAGAUGAAGGGGGACCAUAGAAAGGAGAAGUAGCUGAAUCAAUUUAUAGGAAAAGCUUUUGUGCAGUUGUUUGGUUAUGUAUGCUGGGAUUGGCCAAUUGUAGUUGUAGUAGCCUGGAGGUGGUGUUAGAAUCUUUAUGGCUUCAACCAGAGUUGUUUGGAGCAAAAUUUCAUAGUAAACUGAGAAGAAGAACAGAGGAAGAGAUGCAAACAAGGUGAUGAUUAAGAAGCUGAUGUUUUUGCCAGUGAUUUUUAGAGCUUCUUUGAGAAUAUCAAAGACCUCCAACUGCUGAUAGUGUGUGAUAUGGUUAUCCUCCAUCUCCAUGCCUCUCACUUGCAAGCUUAAACACUGAGCAAUUGGAGGAUCCUUGUUAAAGAAAUCAAAAGUUUUCUUUGGUGGUGGGUGGAGUGGACUUGACUUUUAUUUUUUCUUUGGUAAUUGCAAUUAAUUGCAUUUUACCGUGGAAUGGAAAGAUGUCUUCAGCCAGGGACCACAACCACCUUG